UACGUAGGGUGCGAGCGUUAAUCGGAGUUACUGGGCGUAAAGUGUGCGCAGGCGGCCGAGCAUGUCGAGUGUGAAAGCCCCGGGCUUAACCUGGGAACUGCGCUCGAAACUACUUGGCUGGAGUGUGGCAGAGGAAGGUGGAAUUCCACGUGUAGCGGUGAAAUGCGUAGAGAUGUGGAGGAACACCGAUGGCGAAGGCAGCCCCCUGGGUUAACACUGACGCUCAGGCACGAAAGCGUGGGGAGCAAACAGG
rnacentral:rRNA from 1 species